rnacentral:lncRNA from 1 species
UAAAAUAUUCAAGGAAUGAGUCUUGGCUCCAAAUUCCUUAUUAUGAUUAUUUAUCUCUAAUGAGAAUGUUUCACUUGGUUAUAAUAUUUCACUUUCCUAGAAAAUACAAAAAUAUGCAAAAAUGAAUGCAACGAAUUAGAAAGUUCAAAGUAAUACCUCCAGUACUAGAUUGUGUAUCAGAGCUUACGCGAGACUUAGUAUCCAUCACAUCCCCACUUAAGGGACCUUCACCAAUAGAAGGAAAAGAAUAUGAAUACAAAUCUUUUCUUCUCUUCGUGUGAACCACCAAAUUAGGUCCUUUACUCUCUUCAAAUGGUUCUUGAGUAACAUCAACAAUUUUAACUCUUUGAAUGGUUUGAAUAGAUCACAAAGUUUCAGUCACUUUGCAAUUUUCUUUCCUUUUGUAGCUCUUGGAGCCCUCGCAAUAGCACCAUUAUUUUCUCUUUUCUGGCUUCAAUAUUCCCAUCUACAUUCGGGACAAAAGGCAUGCUCAGUUAACCAAUUUUUUGGGUCUUCACAUGAUUCAAAAAGAAUCUCUGUUGUUACACUGUUAUCCCCAUAUGGCCAAGCUUCAUUACAUGGCUUUAUCGCAUCAAGUUGAUCCUUACUAAGGGUAUUGAAGUCCGCAUCAUCCCAACCGUUAAGACUCUUUUCCAUUAAACAUAAUCACCAUAUGUUUCUCAAGCUGUGAACUUGCUCAUAUCUAAUUUGCAGACUUGUCUGCAGCUUUUUCAAUUGAGCCUUUUCUACUGCAUUUAACGAGCGAGGAUCCUAGGUGCUUCUUUUAGUGGAAGGUUUAACCUACGCCAAAGGAAAAGAGAAUUCCACAUAAGUUUGCUUAAUUUUAAUAUAUUUAUCCCUCGCCAAAUGCAAGUUGUUGAUGGUGUUAUCUACAACAGCUUUUCCUCCCCUUCAAGUGGCAAACAUUACAAACCCUUUUUGCUUAUUCUCACUAUUAGAGGUUACAAUGUAUAUUCUUCUAAACACGUUUACAGAAGCUUCUUCUCCAUGUAGCUGACAAUCAAAUAAAUACAUCAUUAAAGUCCACCAUGAGGAACCCAUUAAUUGCAAAAAGCCACUCCAAAUGCAUUUAAAAAUUCUAUAAAAAAAUGCAAAGGUAGAUGAAACCCUGCUUAAAAAACAUAUAAGGGAAAAAGAAACCAAUGAUUUUCUCUCUUACAACUGUUCAUAUCACUCAAUUGAUGCUUUUCCUUCAAAAUAUUGAAUCUGUAUCUAAAAUUAUUAAAACACGCAAUUCAUCUAUAUUCCAACAAUUUCCACAUCUCCUCUACGUCGAACACUCAAAUUCCUCACUUCCAGUAGGAACACUUAGCAAUCUGGGGGCAAUGUUUUGCUAACAAUAAAAAGGAAAAUUAAAGAAUAAUAUAAGGAAAUUAAAGUAAUUGAAACCUACCAAACUGAACUGCACCCUAAACACAAACAAGAAAAGAAUUGCAGAAAUCCAAACACUUAGAAA